rnacentral:rRNA from 1 species
GGAGGGUGCGAGCGUUGUUCGGAAUUACUGGGCGUAAAGCGCGUGUAGGCGGCCUUGCAAGUCAGGCGUGAAAGCCCUCGGCUUAACCGGGGAAGUGCGUCUGAAACUGCUUGGCUUGAGUACGGGAGAGGGAGGCGGAAUUCCCAGUGUAGAGGUGAAAUUCGUAGAUAUUGGGAGGAACACCGGUGGCGAAAGCGGCCUCCUGGUCCGAUACUGACGCUGAGACGCGAAAGCGUGGGGAGCAAACAGGAUUAGAUACCCUGGUAGUCCACGCGGUAAGCGAUGGGCACUAGGUGUGGGGGGUAUCCACUCCUCCCGUGCCGAAGCUAACGCAUUAAGUGCCCCGCCUGGGGAGUACGGCCGCAAGGUUA